UACGUAGGUGGCGAGCGUUUGUUCGGAGUUACUGGGCGUAAAGAGUGCGUAGGCGGUUUUCUAAGUUUGGUGUGAAAUCUCCCGGCUCAACUGGGAGGGUGCGCCGAAGACUGGAAGGCUAGAGUGUGGGAGAGGUAAGCGGAAUUCCUGGUGUAGCGGUGAAAUGCGUAGAUAUCAGGAGGAACACCUGCGGUGUAGACGGCUUACUGGACCAUAACUGACGCUGAGGCACGAAAGCGUGGGUAGCAAACAGG
rnacentral:rRNA from 1 species